rnacentral:rRNA from 1 species
GACGAACGCUGGCGGCGUGCUUAACACAUGCAAGUCGAACGAUGACGACCUAGCUUGCUCGGCCUGAUUAGUGGCGAACGGGUGAGUAACACGUGAGCAACCUGCCCUUCACUUUGGGAUAACCUCGGGAAAUCGGGGCUAAUCCCGUAUCUGAGCCGCCGUCGCAUUGCGGGCGUUGGAACGUUUUUCGGUGCAGGUUAGGCUCGCGGGCUAUCAGUUUGUUGGUGGGGUAGUGGCUCACCAAGGCGAUGACGGGUAGCCGGCCUGAGAGGGCGAACAGCCACACUGGGACUGAGAGAGGGCGCAGUCGGCUACGGGAGGCAGCAGUGGGGAGUAUUGCACAGUGGUCGAGAGCCUGAUGCAGCGACGCCGCGUGAGGGAUGACGGCCUUCGGGUUGUGAACCUCUUUCAGCAAGGAAGAAGCGAAAGUGACGGUACCUGAAGAAGAAGCGCCGGCUAACUACGUG